rnacentral:rRNA from 1 species
CGAUCCCCCACACUGGUACUGAGACACGGACCAGAUACCUGCGGGUAGCAGCAGCAAGGAAUAUUGCGCAAUGGGCGAAAGCCUGACGCAGCAACACCGCGUGGAGGAUGAAUGUCUUCGGAUUGUAAACUCCUUUUCUGGGGGAAGAGAUAGGACGGUACCCCAGGAAUAAGUCUCGGCUAACUACGUGCCAGCAGCCGCGGUAAAACGUAGGAGGCAAACGUUAUCCGGAUUUACUGGGCGUAAAGCGCAUGCAGGCGGUUUUUUAAGUCGGACGUGAAAGCUCCUGGCUCAACUAGGAGAGGCCGUUCGAAACUGAAAGACUUGAGGAUGAUAGAGGAGAGUGGAAUUCCCGGUGUAGUGGUGAAAUGCGUAGAUAUCGGGAGGAACACCAGUGGCGAAAGCGGCUCUCUGGGUCAUUCCUGACGCUCAGAUGCGAAAGCUAGGGGAGAGAACGGGAUUAGAAACCCCGGUAUUCCUAGCCGUAAACGAUGUCAACUAGGUGUAGGAGGUCAUUUACCCCUUCUGUACUGUAGCUAACGCGUUAAGUUGACCGCCUGGGGACUACGGCCGCAAGGCUAAAACUCAAAGGAAUUGACGGGGACCCGCACAAGCAGCGGAGCGUGUGGUUUAAUUCGAGGCUACGCGAAGAACCUUACCAGGGCUUGACAUAUAGCUGGUAGUGAAUCGAAAGAGGAACGACCCUUCGGGGAGGCUAUACAGGUGCUGCAUGGCUGUCGUCAGCUCGUGCCGUGAGGUGUUCGGUUAAGUCCGAUAACGAGCGCAACCCUCAUCGUUAGUUACAAGUGUCUAGCGAGACUGCCGGCGAUAAGCCGGAGGAAGGUGGGGAUGAUGUCAAGUCAGCAUGGCCUUUAUGUCCUGGUCUACACACACGCUACAAUGGUCGGUACAAUGGGUAGCCAAGCCGCGAGGCGGAGCCAAUCCUCCAAAGCCGAUCUCAGUUCGGAUUGCAGGCUGCAAUUCGCCUGCAUGAAGUCGGAGUUGCUAGUAAACGCGCGUCAGCAACAGUGCGUUGAAUACGUUCCCGGGUCUUGUACACACCGCCCGUCACGUCAUGGAAGUUGGCAACGCCUAAAGUCAGUGGGCUAACCUUACGGAGGCAGCUGCCUAAGGCGGGGUUGGUAACUGGGACGAAGUCGUAACAAGGUAGCUGUAGCGGAAGCUGCGGCUG